AUUGAACGCUGGCGGCAGGCCUAACACAUGCAAGUCGAGCGGAUGAAGGGAGCUUGCUCCUGGAUUCAGCGGCGGACGGGUGAGUAAUGCCUAGGAAUCUGCCUGGUAGCGGGGGAUAACGUCCGGAAACGGGCGCUAAUACCGCAUACGUCCUGAGGGAGAAAGUGGGGGAUCUUCGGACCUUACGCUAUCAGAUGAGCCUAGGUCGGAUUAGCUAGUUGGUGGGGUAAAGGCCUACCAAGGCGACGAUCCGUAACUGGUCUGAGAGGAUGAUCAGUCACACUGGAACUGAGACACGGUCCAGACUCCUACGGGAGGCAGCAGUGGGGAAUAUUGGACAAUGGGCGAAAGCCUGAUCCAGCCAUGCCGCGUGUGUGAAGAAGGUCUUCGGAUUGUAAAGCACUUUAAGUUGGGAGGAAGGGCAGUAAGUUAAUACCUUGCUGUUUUGACGUUACCAACAGAAUAAGCACCGGCUAACUUCGUG
rnacentral:rRNA from 1 species